rfam:Schistosoma mattheei strain Denwood, Zambia genome assembly, scaffold: SMTD_scaffold0002816
AACCUUUUGAAUCAGUGUAGAGAUUUCGUUAGACACCAACCCAUUAGGGCUGAUCAGACUUACAAGAUGAGCGAAGUU